rnacentral:rRNA from 1 species
CCUACGGGUGGCAGCAGUGAGGAAUAUUGGUCAAUGGACGAGAGCCUGAACCAGCCAAGUCGCGUGAAGGAUGACUGCCCUAUGGGUUGUAAACUUCUUUUAUAUAGGAAUAAAACGAGGCACGUGUGCCUUUUUGCAUGUACCUUAUGAAUAAGGAUCGGCUAACUCCGUGCCAGCAGCCGCGGUAAUACGGAGGAUCCGAGCGUUAUCCGGAUUUAUUGGGUUUAAAGGGAGCGUAGGUGGUUAGUUAAGUCAGCUGUGAAAGUUUGCGGCUCAACCGUAAAAUUGCAAUUGAUACUGGCAGUCUUGAGUACAGUUGAGGUAGGCGGAAUGCGUGGUGUAGCGGUGAAAUGCUUAGAUAUCACGAAGAACCCCGAUUGCGAAGGCAGCUUACUAAACUGUAACUGACAUUGAUGCUCGAAAGUGUGGGGAUCAAACAGGAUUAGAUACCCGGGUAGUC